GCAGGUGUAGUUUAGUGGUAAGGCACUUGCCUAGCAUGGGAGAGGCCCUGGGUUCGAUCCCCAGCACUGUCA
rfam:Neotoma lepida isolate 417 scaffold_4574, whole genome shotgun sequence.